GACGAACGCUGGCGGCGUGCUUAACACAUGCAAGUCGAACGGAAAGGCCCUGCUUUUGUGGGGUGCUCGAGUGGCGAACGGGUGAGUAACACGUGAGUAACCUGCCCUUGACUUUGGGAUAACUUCAGGAAACUGGGGCUAAUACCGGAUAUGAGCUCCUGCUCCAUGGUGGGGGUUGGAAAGUUUCGGCGGUUGGGGAUGGACUCGCGGCUUAUCAGCUUGUUGGUGGGGUAGUGGCUUACCAAGGCUUUGACGGGUAGCCGGCCUGAGAGGGUGACCGGCCACAUGGGGACUGAGAGACGGACCAGACUCCUACGGGAGGCAGCAGGGGGGAAUAUUGCACAAUGGGCGGAAGCCUGAUGCAGCAACGCCGCGUGCGGGAUGACGGCCUUCGGGUUGUAAACCGCUGUCGCCUGUGACGAAGCGUGAGUGACGGUAAUGGGUAAAGAAGCACCGGCUAACUACGUG
rnacentral:rRNA from 1 species